CACACGUCCUGCUGCUGCAGGAAUAGCAACAUCGAUUUCAGUGCCUCAUUACGGAGCCACUAAAUGUCUGCGCGGCUCUCUGAUGCUCUGAAACAGACGUCAGAGGCAACAGAAGCAUCACCGCAUGUAACGCUAGUAAACACUAAUAACACGUAGCACAGCAGGUAAUGUUAGCCUUUGGUUAG